UACGGGGGGUGCGAGCGUUGUCCGGAAUCAUUGGGCGUAAAGGGCGCGUAGGUGGCCCGGUCAGUCUUUGGUGAAAGCGCGGGGCUCAACCCUGCGUCGGCCAGGGAUACUGCCGCGGCUCGAGCACUGUAGAGGCAGGCGGAAUUCCGGGUGUAGCGGUGGAAUGCGUAGAGAUCCGGAGGAACACCAGAGGCGAAGGCGGCCUACUGGGCUGCACCUGACGCUGAGCCGCGAAAGCCAGGGGAGCGAACGGG
rnacentral:rRNA from 1 species